GGCGAACAUCGAUCAACACCCUCAGAUCCUUUUCCUCUGCACAGCUUUGCAGCCACUCUGCCCCAAGCCUGUAGCACUGCAUGGGUUUCUUGUCACCAAAGUGCAGGACCCAGCACUUAGCCAUCUUGAACCUCAUCCCAUUGGCUUCUGCCCAUUGACCCCUCCUGUUCAGGUCCCUCUGAAGGGCCUUCCUACCCUCUGGCAGAUUGAUACUUCUCCCCAACUUGGUGUUGUCUGUAAACUUGCUGGGGGUGCACUCAGUUCCCUCAUCGAAAUCAUCAAUAAAGAUAUUAAAGAGCAUGGGCCCCAACACUGAUCCCUGGGGAACACCACUGGUGACCAGUCGCCAGCUGGAUUUCUCUCUGUUCACCACCACUCUUUGGGCCUGGCCACCCAGCCAGUUUUUAACCCAGCAAAGAGUGUGCCUGUCCAAGCCAUGGGCUGCCAGCUUCUCCAGGAAAGUACUGUGGGAGAUUGUUUCAAAAGCUUUGCUGAAGUCUAGGCAGACUACAUCAGCAGCCUUUCACUCAUCCACCAGGCAUUUCACCUGAUCACAGAAGAUGAGGUUGGACAGGCAGGACUUGCUUUUAUUGAACCCAUUCUGACUGGGCCUGAUCCUCAGGUUGUCCCUCACAUGCUGCAUGAUUGCAUUCAAGACAACCUGUUCCAUCACCUUUCAUGGCACCAAGGUCAGACUGGCAGGCCUGUAUCACAGAAUAAUUAUAGAAUCAUAGAAUGGCUUGGGUUGGAAGGGACCUUAAAGAUCAUCCAACUCUGUUUUUCAUUGUAUUUUGUUCCUGUGUUCUUUUUAGGAGGGGGAGUGAGAGAGCAGUGUUGUGGAGUUUAUCUGUUCAUCAAUAUGAAACCACCACAUCCUCACACACCAGAAUCCUCCACAGGUGGGAGAAGAUGGCUUUUGUUUCACCUCCUGCUGCUCCCAGGGAACUCUACAGCAGUUGCUGGGAUCACUGUAAGAACUGCUGGUGUCUAUGGAAACAAACCCGCACAGUGAAUGCCAACAGGCCUGGCUGUUUCAAUAGCUGCACCCUGCCGGACAGAGGGUAAUUGCUCUCUUUAACUACCCAGUGUGGGGAGCUACAGAUAAGACGGAGCCAAACUCUUCUGGAGGUGCACAGGAGAAGGAGAAGACAAUGCUUACAUAUGCUUGGUUGUAAAUUAUGGUUGCGAGUGAAUUAUUGCAUGUGGAAAUUAUGGCUAAAUUUAACAAAAAUGUCCAUGCAGUGAAAGCAGCUGAGCACUGGAGCAGACUGGGAAAUUUCAGUCCCUGUAGAGGAGUUUUGAAACUCAGCUGGACAAGACCCUGAACAGCCUCAUCUGGUGGAGCCCUGCUCUGUGCAAGAGAUUGAACUUGAAGCCUCCCUUCCAACUUGAGUUACUGUAUGACCGUGAUAUUAACAAAGGGAAAACUAAUUGCAGGAAUGUGAAAUAAUGCAGCAAGGGACACUGUAACAGAAAAUGGGUUCCUGUAAGGAUGACACAUUGAUCAGCACAGAUUUCAUUAUCGAGGGAAACAUAAGUUCUCUGAAAUGACUAGAAUGAACUCUGUGAAGACUUAGGGCUCUUGAAACUGUGCCGUAUGUACCAGGUGGGAUUCUCUGAGGUUCUUCAGAAUCAAUUGCUAGAAUUUUGACUGAGGGAUCUCUCCUGCAUUUGGAGACACCUUAAAUACCUUGGAAUAUGUUUGGGAAUCAUUACUCAUGCAACAACUUGACUGAAGCAACUAUGUUUUGAAAAAACAUCAGUCUUCCCAAUCAUACUGGCUUUUGAGUAAAAUUUAGUAAAAUUUUCCAGGAAAAAUAUUUCAUGUGAAAGCAUCUAUCCCAUUAUUUACUACUUUAAGACUGUUAUCUUAGGUUGACUGAUUUUUUUUUCAUUUUUUUUUUCCUUCUUUUUCUCAAACAUGUAAUUCUCCUAAAGAAUGUGUCUGUGGAAAAUCUGAGCUUGCAAACAUAAUACCUCCUCUACCAUUUGUUUUCUUCAUUAAAGCAACACAAAAGCCAAUGUCAUCUUGUUUGAGGGACAAAACCUUCUGGACUCAUAUUGUAAGCCAAGCCCUUUGGAAAAAUUUGGUAUUUGGGCAUCAGUUCUGUCCUCUGUGUCAAAAAGUCACAUGCAUGGAUGUUUCUGUGUCUCUGUGAAAGAUUUGGGCCUUUACAGAUUUAUUUAUUUUUUUCCCAGAAAGUCUUUAUUUUAGUUGUUUUCUUAUUCAUUAUGAUAGUUAGGAUAUAGAUUCAGAAGGACAGUGUAGGCAUCUUAAAUUUCCUAGGCCCUAGUCUGCUGAAGCCUAGGUUACAUUCAGGCGAAUGUCCUCAUAAAGACUAACUUACAGUAUAGAAGUAAAUUUUACUUCACAGUCUGCUGACUUUUGUUCUCUAAGAUGAAUUGUGAGCACACACAACUAAAAGUGGCCGUCAGGAUGAGUCCAGAGCAAAAUUUGACCUCUGUCUACAGUGUGUGGCUCUCAGAGUUGUCUUUUAGGAUCAUUCUGAAAUGCUUUAAGUAAUGGCCAAAAUCUGAUCGAAGUUGAGAAAGUUUUGUGACUAGCUUUAAGAGGCUGAGUAAUGGUAGGAAAUCAUUUUGAGGAUCCCACUCACUUGUAUUUUGGGACCGACUGUUACUGGUGGAUCGAAGCAGAAAGCAAUUACGGAUAUUUUGGAAAGCUGAGAAUAAAUUCUCUCUUCAACCUUGUUCA
ensembl:lncRNA